rnacentral:ncRNA from 1 species
UCAAAUUGGUGCUUUUGUUUAAAAGUUAAACGGGAAACUGGUGAAUAUAAUUAAUCCAGUGCUGCCCUCGCAACGGUAAAUAGAAGGAUUAUAUGCAUAUGCCACUGAGAGAUUGGGAAGGCGCUAUUAAUCAUUAACUCUUCUUAAGCCCGGAUACCGGCCAAAAUUUAAA